ACUGCUAUCGAGAUGGGACUAACCCAGGCCAGUCGAACGACCCGGACUAUGGCGGGAAGUGGCGCACUGCUCAGUAACACGUAGCUAACCUAACCUCAAGACGGAAAUAACCCCGGGAAACUGGGGUCAAUGUCCGAUAGAUGUGAAUUCCUGGAAUGGUGUCACAUCCAAACGUCAACACACCAUGUUGUGCGAACGCUUGAGGAUGGGGCUGCGGCCGAUCAGGCUGUUGGUGGGGUAAUGGCCCACCAAACCUUUGACCGGUAUGGGCCAUGAGAGUGGUAGCCCAGAGAUGGACACUGAGACAAGGGUCCAGGCCCUACGGGGCGCAGCCGGUACGAAACCUCCACAAUGCACGCAAGUGCGAUGGGGUUAUCUCGAGUGCUAUCUGAAAAAGGUAGCUUUUCCAUGGUCUAAAUAGCCGUGGGAAUAAGGGGGGGGCAAGACUGGUGUCAGCCGCCGCGGUAACACCAGCCCCCCGAGUGGUAGGGAUGUUUAUUUGGCCUAAAGCGUCCGUAGCCGGCUAAGUAAAUUUCUCGUUAAAUCCAACGUCCUAAGCGUUGGGCUACGAGAAAGACUGCUUAGCUAGAGGGUGGGAGAGGUCAGCGGUAUUCCUGGGGUAGGGGCGAAAUCCAUUGAACCCAGGAGGACCACCAGUGGCGAAGGCUGCUGACUAGAACACGCCUGACGGUGAGGGACGAAAGCUGGGGUAGCGAAUCGGAUUAGAUACCCGAGUAGUCCCAGCCGUAAACGAUGCAGACUAGGUGUUGGGUUGGCCACGCGCCGACUCAGUGCCACAGGGAAGCCAUUAAGUCUGCCGCCUGGGAAGUACGGCCGCAAGGCUGAAACUUAAAGGAAUUGGCGGGGGAGCACCACCAGGCGUGAAGCCUGCGGUUUAAUUGGAGUCAACGCCGGGAACCUUACCGGGAGCGACAGCAGAGUGAAGGCCAGGCUAAAGGUCUUGCCAGACGAGCUGAGAGGAGGUGCAUGGCCGUCGCCAGUUCGUGCCGUGAGGUGUCCUCUUAAGUGAGGUAACGAACGAGACCCGCGCCGCAUGUUGCUAACAAGUCCUAAAGGGAUGUUGAGCACUCUUGCGGGACCGCAGCCGACAAGGCUGAGGAAGGUGCGGGCAACGGCAGGUCAGUAUGCCCCGAAUCUCCCGGGCCACACGCGGGCUGCAAUGGUAGAGACAGAGGGCUGCAACCCCGAAAGGGGAAGCCAAUCCCUAAACUCUACUUCAGUUGGGAUUGAGGGCUGCAACCC
rnacentral:rRNA from 1 species